rnacentral:rRNA from 1 species
CCUACGGGAGGCAGCAGUAAGGAAUAUUGGACAAUGCUCGCAAGAGUGAUCCAGCCAUGCCGCGUGCAGGAAGACGGCCCUAUGGGUUGUAAACUGCUUUUGAACUAGAGAAAACCCUCCUACGUGUAGGAGGCUGAUAGUAUAGUUAGAAUAAGCAUCGGCUAACUUCGUGCCAGCAGCCGCGGUAAGACGAAGGAUGCAAGCGUUAUCCGGAUUCAUUGGGUUUAAAGGGAGCGUAGGUGGACUGAUAAGUCAGUGGUGAAAUCUCUCGGCUUAACCGAGAAAUUGCCAUUGAUACUGUUGGUCUUGAGUACAGUUGCUGUGGGCGGAAUAUGACAUGUAGUGGUGAAAUACAUAGAGAUGUCAUAGAACACCGAUUGCGAAGGCAGCUCACAAAGCUGUAACUGACACUGAGGCUCGAAAGUGCGGGGAUCAAACAGGAUUAGAUACCCUGGUAGUCCGCACCGUAAACGAUGAUUACUCGCUGCUGGGAGGUAACUUUCAGUGGCUUAGCGAAAGCGAUAAGUAAUCCACCUGGGAGUACGCCGGCAACGGUGAAACUUAAGGAAGUUAGACGGCGNGAGAGAGCGACGGACGACACGAGGGAGGUUAGG